rnacentral:rRNA from 1 species
UACAGAGGUCCCGAGCGUUGUUCGGAUUCACUGGGCGUAAAGGGUGCGUAGGUGGCAAGGUAAGUUUGAUGUGAAAUCUCCGAGCUUAACUCGGAAAAUGCAUUGAAUACUAUCUGGCUAGAGGUUUGGAGGGGGGACUGGAAUUCUUGGUGUAGCAGUGAAAUGCGUAGAGAUGUGGAGGAACACCGAUGGCGAAGGCAGCCCCCUGGGUCAAGAUUGACGCUCAUGCACGAAAGCGUGGGGAGCAAACAGG